ACGAACGCUGGCGGCGUGCUUAACACCUGCCAGUCGAACGGAAAGGCCCUGCUUUUGUGGGGUGCUCGCGUGGCGAACGGGUGAGUAACACGUGAGUAACCUGCCCUUGACUUUGGGAUAACUUCAGGAAACUGGGGCUAAUACCGGAUAGGAGCUCCUGCUGCAUGGUGGGGGUUGGAAAGUUUCGGCGGUUGGGGAUGGACUCGCGGCUUAUCAGCUUGUUGGUGGGGUAGUGGCUUACCAAGGCUUUGACGGGUAGCCGGCCUGAGAGGGUGACCGGCCACAUUGGGACUGAGAUACGGCCCAGACUCCUACGGGAGGCAGCAGUGGGGAAUAUUGCACAAUGGGCGGAAGCCUGAUGCAGCAACGCCGCGUGCGGGAUGACGGCCUUCGGGUUGUAAACCGCUUUCGCCUGUGACGAAGCGUGAGUGACGGUAAUGGGUAAAGAAGCACCGGCUAACUACGUG
rnacentral:rRNA from 1 species